AUUGAACGCUGGCGGCAGGCCUAACACAUGCAAGUCGAGCGGAUGAAGGGAGCUUGCGCCUGGAUUCAGCGGCGGACGGGUGAGUAAUGCCUAGGAAUCGGCCUGGUAGUGGGGGAUAACGUCCGGUAACGGGCGCUAAUACCGCAUACGUUCUGAGGGAGAAAGUGGGGGAUCAUCGGACCUCACGCUAACAGAUGAGCCUAGGUUGGAUUAGCUAGUUGGUGGGGUAAAGGCCGACCAAGGCGACGAUCCGUAACUGGUCUGAGAGGAUGAUCAGGCACACUGGACCUGAGCCACGGCCCAGCCUCCUACGGGAGGAAGCAGUGGGGAAUAUUGGACAAUGGGCGAAAGCCUGACCCAGCCAUGCCGCGUGUGUGAAGAAGGUCUUCGGAUUGUAAAGCCCUUUAAGUUGGGAGGAAGGGCAGUAAGUUAAUACCUUGCUGUUUUGACGUUACCAACAGAAUAAGCACCGGCUAACUUCGUG
rnacentral:rRNA from 1 species